GACGAACGCUGGCGGCGUGCUUAACACAUGCAAGUCGAACGAUGACGACCGAGCUUGCUCGGUCUGAUUAGUGGCGAACGGGUGAGUAACACGUGAGCAACCUGCCCUUCACUCUGGGAUAACCUCGGGAAAUCGGGGCUAAUACCGGAUAUGAGCUCCUGUCGCAUGGCGGGUGUUGGAAAGUUUUUCGGUGAAGGAUGGGCUCGCGGCCUAUCAGUUUGUUGGUGAGGGAGUGGCUCACCAAGGCGAUGACGGGUAGCCGGCCUGAGAGGGCGACCGGGGCCCCACGGGGAAUGACACGGCGCCGAGCCUGCGGGGGGGGCAAGGGGGGGGGAAUAUGGCAAAGGGGGCGAACGCUGUGGGCAGCGCCGCCGGGGGGGGAAGGGGGCCUUUCGUGUUAAAAACUUUUUUCAGAGGGAAAGAACAAAGCGGGGGGGACCCUAAAAAGGGGGGGCGGACAAGUCAGGUC
rnacentral:rRNA from 1 species